rnacentral:rRNA from 1 species
CUUAGAAGCAGCCAUCAUUUAAAGAAAGCGUAAUAGCUCACUGGUCGAGUCGGCCUGCGCGGAAGAUGUAACGGGGCUAAACCAUGCACCGAAGCUGCGGCAGCGACACUAUGUGUUGUUGGGUAGGGGAGCGGUCUGUAAGCCUGCGAAGGUGUGCUGUGAGGCAUGCUGGAGGUAUCAGAAGUGCGAAUGCUGACAUAAGUAACGAUAAAGCGGGUGAAAAGCCCGCUCGCCGGAAGACCAAGGGUUCCUGUCCAACGUUAAUCGGGGCAGGGUGAGUCGACCCCUAAGGCGAGGCCGAAAGGCGUAGUCGAUGGGAAACAGGUUAAUAUUCCUGUACUUGGUGUUACUGCGAAGGGGGGACGGAGAAGGCUAUGUUAGCCGGGCGACGGUUGUCCCGGUUUAAGCAUGUAGGCUGAUUGUCCAGGCAAAUCCGGAUAAUCAAGGCUGAGGUGUGAUGACGAGGCACUAC